AGCUCCACUAGCGUAAAAUAUUACUGCUGCGGUUAAAAAGCUCGUAGUUGAAUCUAGUCGUGUCCGUUGGGUUUGUCGUUGGCGUUAAUUCGUCUCUGGCGUUAAUUCACGGCCGAUUUUUGCUGGUUUGCUGUUGGUCUUCGGAUCUUCGGUGGCUAGCGAGUUACUUUGAUCAAAUCAGAGUGCUCAAAACAGGCGAAAGCUUGUAUGAUUUCUCGAGGAAUAACAGAAGAGGACUUCGGUUCUAUUU
rnacentral:rRNA from 1 species